ensembl:snoRNA SNORA74 Small nucleolar RNA SNORA74
UCCAGCUAUAGUCAGCUGUCCAGACAGAACUAAUUCUGUGAUGGUGGUACACUGCUGGGAGAGAAAUAUCUUGUCUUCUUCCAGUUGCCACCAUCACUGUUCUGGUGACAUCAGGGACUGGUGCAGAAUAGAACUUUGCUUCCUUUGGAGUAUUGCUUAGCGUCCACUUUGGCUGCUUUAGUUUUAGUUUGGAAGCAUACACA